rnacentral:rRNA from 1 species
GGAGUUUGGGCCGUGUCUCAGUCCCAAUGUGGCCGUACACCCUCUCAGGCCGGCUACUGAUCGUUGCCUUGGUGGGCCGUUACCUCGCCAACUAGCUAAUCAGACGCGGGUCCAUCUCAUACCACCGGAGUUUUUCACACUGCACCAUGCGGUGCUGUGCGCUUAUGCGGUAUUAACAGUCGUUUCCAGCUGUUAUCCCCCAGUAUGAGGCAGGUUGCCCACGCGUUACUCACCCGUCCGCCACUAAGAUUUAACAAGAAUCCGCCGAAGCCUCAUCAGCGUUAAAUCUCCGUUCGACUUGCAUGUGUUAGGCACGCCGCCAGCGUUCAUC